rnacentral:rRNA from 1 species
GACGAACGCUGGCGGCGUGCUUAACACAUGCAAGUCGAACGGAAAGGCCCUGCUUUUGUGGGGUGCUCGAGUGGCGAACGGGUGAGUAACACGUGAGUAACCUGCCCUUGACUUUGGGAUAACUUCAGGAAACUGGGGCUAAUACCGGAUAGGAGCUCCUGCUGCAUGGUGGGGGUUGGAAAGUUUCGGCGGUUGGGGAUGGACUCGCGGCUUAUCAGCUUGUUGGUGGGGUAGUGGCUUACCAAGGCUUUGACGGGUAGCCGGCCUGAGAGGGUGACCGGCCACAUUGGGACUGAGAUACGGCCCAGACUCCUACGGGAGGCAGCAGUGGGGAAUAUUGCACAAUGGGCGGAAGCCUGAUGCAGCAACGCCGCGUGCGGGAUGACGGCCUUCGGGUUGUAAACCGCUUUCGCCUGUGACGAAGCGUGAGUGACGGUAAUGGGUAAAGAAGCACCGGCUAACUACGUGCCAGCAGCCGCGGUGAUACGUAGGGUGCGAGCGUUGUCCGGAUUUAUUGGGCGUAAAGGGCUCGUAGGUGGUUGAUCGCGUCGGAAGUGUAAUCUUGGGGCUUAACCCUGAGCGUGCUUUCGAUACGGGUUGACUUGAGGAAGGUAGGGGAGAAUGGAAUUCCUGGUGGAGCGGUGGAAUGCGCAGAUAUCAGGAGGAACACCCAGUGGCGAAGGCGGGUUCUCUGGGGCCUUUCCUGACGCUGAGGAGCGAAAGCGUGGGGAGCGAACAGGCUUAGAUACCCUGGUAGUCCACGCUGUAAACGGUGGGUACUAGGUGUGGGGUCCAUUCCACGGGUUCCGUGCCGUAGCUAACGCUUUAAGUACCCCGCCUGGGGAGUACGGCCGCAAGGUUAAAACUCAAAGGAAUUGACGGGGCCCCGCACAAGCGGCGGAGCAUGCGGAUUAAUUCGAUGCAACGCGUAGAACCUUACCUGGGUUUGACAUGGAUCGGGAGCGCUCAGAGAUGGGUGUGCCUCUUUUGGGGUCGGUUCACAGGUGGUGCAUGGCUGUCGUCAGCUCGUGUCGUGAGAUGUUGGGUUAAGUCCCGCAACGAGCGCAACCCUUGUUCACUGUUGCCAGCACGUUAUGGUGGGGACUCAGUGGAGACCGCCGGGGUCAACUCGGAGGAAGGUGGGGAUGACGUCAAGUCAUCAUGCCCCUUAUGUCCAGGGCUUCACGCAUGCUACAAUGGCUGGUACAGAGAGUGGCGAGCCUGUGAGGGUGAGCGAAUCUCGGAAAGCCGGUCUCAGUUCGGAUUGGGGUCUGCAACUCGACCUCAUGAAGUCGGAGUCGCUAGUAAUCGCAGAUCAGCAACGCUGCGGUGAAUACGUUCCCGGGGCU